CUAAUUUGGCAGAGAGAAUUGAGUGCAGUAGAUUUAGGAUCUACAGAGGUGUUAUAACACAGUUAGUA
rnacentral:tRNA from 1 species